rnacentral:rRNA from 1 species
AGCAGCCGCGGUAAUUCCAGCUCCAAUAGCGUAUAUUAAAGUUGUUGCAGUUAAAAAGCUCGUAGUUGAAUUUCGGGAUUAGUACGUUGGUCGUGCCUUCGGUACGUACUGGUGUUACUGAUUCCUACCUUCUGACGAACCAUCAUGUCAUUAAUUUGGUGUGGCGGGGAAUCAGGACUGUUACUUUGAAAAAAUUAGAGUGUUUAAAGCAGGCUCGCGCUUGAAUACAUUAGCAUGGAAUAAUGAAAUAGGACGUUGACCCUAUUUUGUUGGUUUCUAGGAUUGACGUAAUGAAUUAAUAGGGAUAGUUGGGGGCAUUAGUAUUCAAUUGUCAGAGGUGAAAUUCUUGGAUUUAUUGAAGACUAACUACUGCGAAAGCAUUUGCCAAGGAUGUUUUCAUUAAUCAAGAACGAAAGGUUAGGGAUCGAAGACGAUCAGAUACCGUCGUAGUCUUAACCAUAAACUAUGCCGACUAGGGAUCGGGAUGAUUAGUUUAUUUUUAAUGUACUCAUUCGGCGUC